AGUGAACGCUGGCGGUAGGCCUAACACAUGCAAGUCGAACGGCAGCACAGUAAGAGCUUGCUCUUACGGGUGGCGAGUGGCGGACGGGUGAGGAAUACAUCGGAAUCUACUUUUUCGUGGGGGAUAACGUAGGGAAACUUACGCUAAUACCGCAUACGACCUACGGGUGAAAGCAGGGGAUCUUCGGACCUUGCGCGAUUGAAUGAGCCGAUGUCGGAUUAGCUAGUUGGCGGGGGAAAGGCCCACCAAGGCGACGAUCCGUAGCUGGUCUGAGAGGAUGAUAAGCCACACUGAAACUGAGACACGGUCCAGACUCCUACAGGAGGCAGCAGUGGGGAAUAUUGGACAAUGGGCGCAAGCCUGAUCCAGCCAUGCCGCGUGCGUGAAGAAGGCCUUCGGGUUGUAAAGCCCUUUUGUUGGGAAAGAAAAGCAGCAGGUUAAUACCCCGCUGUUCUGACGGUACCCAAAGAAUAAGCACCGGCUAACUUCGUG
rnacentral:rRNA from 1 species